ACAGAGUGGACAAGAAUGAAGAUGGGAGAAUUACAGAAGAGGAAGUAA
rnacentral:sRNA from 1 species